AGGGCCAUGCAAACUAUUUAACCAAUAAAAUUAUUAAUUAUCUUUUGCAGUCCAUCAUUUCUUAUUAAAGGCUCAUUUCACACUCUUCAUUAAUAAAGAUGUCCCAAAAUUCUGUUCCAAGCAUGUUAGUCCCUACCAUCGUAGAUAGAUUUUUGCUUGUAAGAGUAUGUGCCACCUUAGUUAUGUGUGCCAUUUAGAAGUAUUCAAGAUGAUCUUUGACACGACAAAGGUUUUUGAUGCCAAAUUGACAUAGGAUAUAAGGAGAGAGGAGAAGAAGGGGAAUAUCGAGAGACGA
rnacentral:lncRNA from 1 species